rnacentral:rRNA from 1 species
GAUGAACGCUGGCGGCGUGCCUAAUACAUGCAAGUCGAGCGAACAGACGAGGAGCUUGCUCCUCUGACGUUAGCGGCGGACGGGUGAGUAACACGUGGAUAACCUACCUAUAAGACUGGGAUAACUUCGGGAAACCGGAGCUAAUACCGGAUAAUAUAUUGAACCGCAUGGUUCAAUAGUGAAAGACGGUUUUGCUGUCACUUAUAGAUGGAUCCGCGCCGCAUUAGCUAGUUGGUAAGGUAACGGCUUACCAAGGCGGCGAUGGGUAGCCGACCUGAGAGGGUGAUCGGCCGCACUGGAACUGAGACACGGUCCAGACUCCUACGGGAGGCAGCAGAAGGGAAUAUUAGGCAAUGGGCGGAAACCUGACGGAACAACGCCGCGUGAGAGAUAAAGGUCUUCGGAUCGUAAAACUCUGUUAUUAGGGAAGAACAAAUGUGUAAGUAACUAUGCACGUCUUGACGGUACCUAAUCAGAAAGCCACGGCUAACUACGUG